rnacentral:lncRNA from 1 species
CCCCCCAACUCCUCUUGUCGAUGCUGCUAGCUGCCUUCCGCUCUGUUGUGAUGUCAGGAGUACACCUUCAGCAUCAAUCCGCCACUCCCAACCAAGUGGUAUGGAACUACUCUACAAUCCCAUCUCAUUGUGCCUGGAGGAAGGAGAAUAUGAAGCCAACCAGCAUGGAGAAGGAUGGAGAGGGAAUGCAUGGAGGCAGAUGGAGAUCUGGGGGAGGCAUAUGAACAGAGUGGCGAGAGUGAGCGAAUGAGGAAUGCAGGGGGAGGCAGAUGAAGAGGGUUUCUAUCGAGAUUGAGAUUUGGAAGAGGGGAAUAGAAACAUAUUGAAAUAUCUUUAUUUUGAAAAUAUUAACAAAAAAAAGGGAAGCUAGG